rnacentral:rRNA from 1 species
AGUGAACGCUGGCGGUAGGCCUAACACAUGCAAGUCGAACGGCAGCACAGUAAGAGCUUGCUCUUACGGGUGGCGAGUGGCGGACGGGUGAGGAAUACAUCGGAAUCUACUUUUUCGUGGGGGAUAACGUAGGGAAACUUACGCUAAUACCGCAUACGACCUACGGGUGAAAGCAGGGGAUCUUCGGACCUUGCGCGAUUGAAUGAGCCGAUGUCGGAUUAGCUAGUUGGCGGGGUAAAGGCCCACCAAGGCGACGAUCCGUAGCUGGUCUGAGAGGAUGAUCAGCCACACUGGAGCUGAGACACGGUCCAGACUCCUACGGGAGGCAGCAGUGGGGAAUAUUGGACAGUGGGCGCAAGCCUGAUCCAGCCAUACCGCGUGGGUGAAGAAGGCCUUCGGGUUGUAAAGCCCUUUUGUUGGGAAAGAAAAGCAGCAGGUUAAUACCCCGCUGUUCUGACGGUACCCAAAGAAUAAGCACCGGCUAACUUCGUG